GUCUACAGCCAUGCUACCCUGAACAAGCCGAUUCCCAUCUGAUCUCAGAAGCUAAGCAGGGUCGGGCCUGGUUAGUACUUGGAUGGGAGACCACCUAGGAAGACCAGAUGCUGUAGGCG
rnacentral:rRNA from 1 species